rnacentral:rRNA from 1 species
AAGACCUUGCGCUUUUGGAGCGGCCGAUGCCUGAUUAGCUUGUUGGUAAGGUAAAAGCUUACCAAGGCUUCGAUCAGUAGCUGGUCUGAGAGGACGACCAGCCACACUGGGACUGAGACACGGCCCAGACUCCUACGGGAGGCAGCAGUGGGGAAUUUUGGACAAUGGGGGCAACCCUGAUCCAGCCAUGCCGCGUGAGUGAAGAAGGCCUUCGGGUUGUAAAGCUCUUUCAGCCGGAACGAAACGGUUACGGAUAACACCCGUGACUACUGACGGUACCGGAAGAAGAAGCACCGGCUAACUACGUGCCAGCAGCCGCGGUAAUACGUAGGGUGCGAGCGUUAAUCGGAAUUACUGGGCGUAAAGCGUGCGCAGGCGGUCUUGUAAGUCAGAUGUGAAAUCCCCGGGCUUAACCUGGGAACU